rnacentral:pre_miRNA from 7 species
AUUUAAUAUUGAAAGACCCCCGAAGGGAGACCCUCACUCAAGCCUCGGGACAGCCGCGGACCCAAGAAGACACUAUGACCG